ACUGCUUGGCCCUCCUUGACGGGGUCACGUGGGACGUCGCCGGCGCCGGCCUCCCAGUCAGUCCGGGGGAGGGUGGCGUCGAGGAGGGACCAGGUGUUGCGCCGGCGAGGCGGAGGGCUAGAGCGACGGCGAGAUCAAGAUCCGGGGUCCUAGAUCCAACGCCGGCGGCCGUCAUGAAUCCCUCCUGUUCCCCUUCCUGCUCGCCCUGCUGGUCCUCCGCACCGUGCUUUACCGGUUUACCCGGACCCCGACGCGCGCGUCGCUCCCCCUUUGCUUCCGGCAUGACGGCGCCUUCAAGAUCCUGCAGGUGGCGGACAUGCACUUCGGGAACGGGCGCCACCACGUGCUGCCAACAUGGCGCUGGGGUGGCGUGCGCUGCUCGGACCUCAACACCAUGCAGUUCCUGCUUCGAGUCAUUGAGGCGGAGGGGUCCGACCUCAUCGCCGAGUCAUUGUCGAGCUGUGCUGUUUUCUGUUGAGGAGAAGCAGUUUUUGCAGUCUAUGCAAUUCAUGAUUGGUAUAUGAGCAUUAAAAUGGUGAUUUCAGUUGGGAAUAUUUAGGUGCAGCAAAGACCAUUGCAAGAGUUCUUGCUAUUAACACUACGAAUUCUAGGUUGCCUCCAACAUAGUAAUGACCAACAUUCAGCUUUAAGCAAUUCUAUCUGUCUCUGAAUUGGUCAUAAAUUUUCCCAAGGCUAGCAACUGUGUGUUAA